GUGGGGAAUAUUGGACAAUGGGGGCAACCCUGAUCCAGCCAUGCCGCGUGUGUGAAGAAGGCCUUCGGGUUGUAAAGCACUUUUGUUGGGGAAGAAAAGCACUGGGCUAAUACCUUGGUGUCAUGACGGUACCCAAAGAAUAAGCACCGGCUAACUUCGUGCCAGCAGCCGCGGUAAUACGAAGGGUGCAAGCGUUACUCGGAAUUACUGGGCGUAAAGCGUGCGUAGGCGGUUUGUUAAGUCUGUCGUGAAAGCCCCGGGCUCAACCUGGGAAUGGCGAUGGAAACUGGCGAGCUAGAGUACGGUAGAGGAGAGUGGAAUUCCCGGUGUAGCAGUGAAAUGCGUAGAGAUCGGGAGGAACAUCAGUUGCGAAGGCGGCUCUCUGGACCAGUACUGACGCUGAGGCACGAAAGCGUGGGGAGCAAACAGGAUUAGAAACCCCAGUAGUCC
rnacentral:rRNA from 1 species